UACGAAGGGGGCUAGCGUUGCUCGGAAUCACUGGGCGUAAAGGGCGCGUAGGCGGACUUUUAAGUCAGGGGUGAAAGCCCAAGGCUCAACCUUGGAAUUGCCUUUGAUACUGAGGGUCUCGAGACCGGAAGAGGUGAGUGGAACUGCGAGUGUAGAGGUGAAAUUCGUAGAUAUUCGCAAGAACACCAGUGGCGAAGGCGGCUCACUGGUCCGGUUCUGACGCUGAGGCGCGAAAGCGUGGGGAGCAAACAGGAUUAGAUACCCGCGUAGUCC
rnacentral:rRNA from 1 species